AAGCUUUUCCUCUUCCUGGGUUAACUAAAGGUAAAUAAACACACGAGUAUGACUUUCAAACAUAUUAUCACUGUGUCCACCGGUCCACAUCAGUCUGUGUACAGCAGGAGUUAGUUGUGCAGCCCGGGAAACACACGUCAUAAAACGCCGGUGCACCGGGUAGUAAAGGAUGGCUUUUCCGUGUGUGCGGCUGUGCUCUCGACACAUGAGUGCAGGACUUCAAGUCUGUUCUUAUGCAACACUCAGUAAAGCAUCCAGACCCCAAGAAAAAAGCAGCACUGAUCCAGUUUUUCAGUAUGUCGGCCAGCACAAAAAGCCCAACCACAAAGUGUUUGUGUGGGGCUUCAGCUUCACCGGUGCUCUGGGUAUCCCCAGCUUUGUGGUGCCAGACAGCGGCAGAAAAAAACCACGCAAAUACCAGCUGACUCCUUACCGGCUGGAGACUGCAGAGCAGAUCACUUCUGCUGCUUGUGGUUAUGGUUUCACACUCAUCGCCUCCUCGACCAAAGAUAUAAUCAAGCUGUGGGGCAUGGGCCUGAACAAGGACUCUCAGCUGGGCUUCCAACGCACACAACACAGCCGCCUUCAGAGCUAUGACUACGUGUUGGAACCCUCCCCGGUGGCUCUGCCUCUUGUCAAACCUCUGCAGACCAGAGUGGUUCAGGUUGCAAGUGGCCGCGCUCACUCUCUUGUCCUCACUGACCAAGAGGGAGUUUUCAGUAUGGGCAACAACGCGUAUGGUCAAUGUGGAAGGCAGAUAGUUGAAGAUGAAGUCUACAGCGGCAGUCACAUCAUUCACAAGAUAGAAGGCUUUGGCUCCAGGGUCGUCCAGGUGGCAUGUGGACAGGACCACAGUCUUUUCCUCACUGAGACAGGGAAAGUGUACGCAUGUGGAUGGGGAGCAGAUGGGCAGACGGGUCUGGGUCACCACAACAUCAGCUCCAGUCCGGUGGAGGUGGGAGGGGAUCUGGCAGGGGUGGAGGUGCAGCAGAUCAGCACGUAUGGAGACUGCAGCCUGGCUCUGUCCAGAGAUGGACAGCUGUAUGGAUGGGGCAACUCUGAAUACCUGCAGCUGUCGUCAGUCACUGAGGCCACACAGAUCAACUCUCCCCGACAUCUUCCUCUGAAAGGCUGUGGAAAGCUGGUUCAGGCAGCAUGUGGGGGCACACAGGUGGCCAUUCUCAACGAAAAAGGAGAGGUGUUUGUUUGGGGCUAUGGCAUUCUUGGAAAAGGGCCCAAACUAUCCGAAUCAUCGACCCCGGAGAUGAUUCCCCCAACACUGUUUGGACGGUCAGAGUUCAGCCCCUCAGUAGCCGUCACCAGGAUCAGGUGUGGCCUCAACCAUUUUGCUGCAGUGACAGAUCGAGGCGAGCUCUUCGUUUGGGGGAAGAAUAUGAGAGGUUGUUUGGGCAUCGGGAAGAGAGACGACCAGUACUUCCCAUGGCGAGUGACUGUUCCAGGUCAAGUGGUGGAUGUAGCAUGUGGUGUAGACCACAUGGUGGCGCUGGUGAAGUCCCUCCUGUGAGCAAGUGGAUAAAAAGACUGGAUGUUUGGAUGAGCCCCCCCUCUUUCCCCGCCUCUGACCUCAAAGCACCUCAGGGAGCCGAUCGGGGGCCACGCUGGAGUCUUGAAGCCAGCUGGUCUCCACAGAGGGGGUUUCUGCAGCUGGAACAGCCUUCCACCACCUCUACCUCCUCCUCCACCACCUCCUCCUGUGUCUGUGUGCUGAAGUGAGCUGAAGCAGAGAAAAGAUGGCAUGUGGAGGCACCCGCACAGAGGUACAAGGACCUGGCUGUUCUCUGCUUUGUUUACUCGGGUCAAAUAAUACAGACAACUGAUAUACCUGCAGUCUUCCCUCCUGUCGUCCAUCUGCUGCAGGCUGGAGUGGACAAAGAGUAUUAGUGAAGUGGAGAAGAUACUGACAGAAAGACAGGCGUGUCUAUUAAAUGUUUGUUUCACAUGAAGUCUAAAAUUGCAUCAUAAGUACAUGUGGGAAACCUCACUAGCUGCCCCUAGAGGCUGAAGUGGACACUGAUUGAUUUGGUUGAGGGUUUGCUGUUAUGAAGAUUCUAGGCAUUUAAGUGAGACUAAUAUAGUGGAAAGCUGACAGAGAGCCCAAAAUGAACUAGUUAAUCCUCAGGGGAGCGUGAACAUGCUCAGUAGCAUUCACAUCAAUCUGCACAUUCGAUUUUUAGAGAUUUAGAGCAUUUCUUAGAGAUUAAGAGUUUAAAGCAUCACUGAUUAAGAUUAAGGAACAUCCUCUAAUAUCAUCAGGAUUCAUCUUCAGGGGAUCAUGCAUACCAAGUUGGAAUAUUAUACAUUUUUUUACAUUUAAAGAUUUUAAUAUUCUCUAGUAAGUUUUUUUAAAAUGUACUUAUUUACUUACUUACAUAUUUAUCCAAUAUUUUGCUUGUGUCUUGUGUCUCACUGGUGGAAAACAAGUCCCUGUUGAAUUGAUGUAGUGCAGAUGUAACAAACAUUGCCACAGAAAGUCUCAGCAACAUCACUGCUGCUGUUCACGCUUGACAGAUGACAUCCUUCACUUCCAGUUUGUGUUCAGACUUUGUAAAAUCCCUGCCACAUGUGCUAGUCUGUUCCCUUGAACGUUACUUUUCAUUAGCUAAUGAUAUUAAUGUGCUGUUAAUGACUGUAAAUGUUCUUGUAUAGUACUGAUACUGUGUUUUGGCAUUCUUUUAGCUCUGUAAAUGUGUAGGGUCAUGGUGGAGAAAGUAUUCAGAUCUUUAACUUAAGAUAAAGUACUUAAAAUUAUGCAUUAAUGUAAAAACAGGAUUUUACUGCUGUAGUUAGUUGAGGUGGAGCUCAUUUCUAAUUAUUUUGUAUAAAACUGCAACUGAUUACCUAAACAUUAUAAAAUAAAUAGUUUUUACAUUAAGUAGUGGACAUUUGGGUUCUGCUCAAAGCUUUCUGUUUAUUUAAAGGACGCUUUGAUUGUUGAGUCUCUGUAAAUAAUAUUUACACUCUAGACCUGCGCUAUAUGCAAAGUAUCAUGAGAAAACUUCUGUUGUGAUUUGGUGCUAUAU